ensembl:lncRNA
UGGACAUGCCGAGAGAUGAGGUCGGAUUGGUCCGCCAUGUAGCUUGCUUCUGUCUAUAACAUGAGCUGGUCAGUAUGUGCAGGUAAUCCUUUCCUUUUUUUGCUUUUUUGAAAGACAUCACGUAGUAGAACUGCAUAAGUGUUGCUCUCCACUUUCUGGAGGACCGAGUUUUGAAAUCAGUGGAAUUAGAGUAUAAUAGCUAAGGAGAUGGAGAAAAUUCUGGUGUUUGAUUGCAAAUAUGCAGAGCAAUUUGCAUUGCUAGUUAUAGUCUAAUGUUAGCUAGCUAACAUUGAACCUGGUUGGUUAGCUACCUGCAGAUUCAUGCAGGGUAGUAACGUUAUGAGUUGGGAUUAUGGUUCAUUGUUUAGCUAGUUAGCUAGCUACAUGUCUAAACAAAAGACUCCACUCUGCAAGUAAACAUUUCAAUAGAAUAUUCAUGAUGUCACUGCAACAAAUGUCGACAGACGUAGCUGGUAAAUUUGCUCAAUCUACUCCGAUUUCAGAUUUGUGCCCGAGCGCAGAAUAACUGACACAUUUACAACGCUCAACAACCAUUGAAAGUGGCCGGUGUCAGUAAACGUUGACAAAAAAAGCAUAAUUAAAUUGUUGCCAGCAGCCCAGUUGCAGUCACCAACGCUCUGGAUAACCUAAAAACAGCCUAACCAGCUCUGCUAGGGCAAGUAAAAUGGUCAGAGUGAGCUGUUCCCUCAUUUGUGUCUGGAAGUAGCUAGCAAGCUAGCCAACGUUAUCACUUAUGUUGAGUGCUUGAUUGCUGUUGUUAUGUCAGAACGCUCGGCUCAACCAGUUGUGGCUCUGAACUCUGGGAUCAACCCUACUCCUCGGCCAGUGUCCAGUGUGAGCUCUGAACUCUGGGAUCAACCCUACUCCUCAGCCAGUGUCCAGUGUGGCUCUGAACUCUGGGAUCAACCCUACUCCUCGGCCAGUGUCCAGUGUGAGCUCUGAACUCUGGGAUCAACCCUACUCCACGGCCAGUGUCCAGUGUGAGCUCUGAACGCUCAGAGAGCGAAACAUUCUGAAUUUACAAAUGGACAAUCUGACAACGCUCUGAGUUUACGAACGCCCAGAGCACACUCUGGCACUCCAGAUUAAUGUUUACAAGCACACCCAUAGUAUAAACCAGCCUUUAGUCUUGAAAUCAUUGGUUGUUUAGUACAUGGCCUCACAGGUUAAUCCUUAAAGCUUUAGAGGGUGUUAACAAUGCUGAAUGGGUGUAGACAAAGAAGAGCUCUCCAGUGGGUACCAAAAACAUUCAAGGGCCAUUUUCUCAAAAGUGAGGUUACAAGUUUAUCAACAUUCAAAGCAGAAUUACUUUCCCAUUGUUCCUCAACUGCAGUGUCUGAUAUACCAUUUUCUAGCUCUUCUACUUCUUUCCAAUGUAAAAUACACCAUUUAAAAUGUUGCUACAUAAGACCGAACCGGUCGGUCACAUAUACUUUAAUGAUUGUCAGAGUGAACAGCAGGCUCACAAAGGAAACCAGCCCAUUACAAUAACUAGUGUGAAAGAGACCUGCUAAAACUGCCAUAUCUGUGCUGGCAGAUAGAUGUGUUGAUUUAAACUGUCUGAUAACAUUAAAGUGAAAGUAGACAUUGCUUCCUUCUACAGGAUUGGUCCAACUCACUAAGAACAUCCCAAAUGGCACCCUAUUCCUUAAAUAGUGACCUACUUCAGACCAGAGCCCUAUGAGCCUCCAGAGAGAGAGAGACACUGCUUCUACAGGUCUGAACAGAAACCUCUGAUAGUUAGAUAACACAGUAUUAACAGGAAAGAGGGCUCUGACAAACAACAGCAAUGUGAUAACCUGGGGAAUGCUUCCCAAAAGGCACCCUAUUCCCUUUAUAUGGUGGGAACAGAGUGCUAUUUGGGACGCGACCUGAGUCAGUAACAUGUGGUGAUUAGAUCAUCCAUAUGCACUGAUAAAGGUGUAUUCUUCCUGUUACAGUCAGGAAACCAACCCAUUACAUUACAGUCAGGAAACCAACCCAUUACAUUACAGUCAGGAAACCAACCCAUUACAUUACAGUCAGGAAACCAACCCAUUACAUUACAGUCAGGAAACCAACCCAUUACAUUGACAACACAUGACUUCCUCUAUGGGUUCACUGUAUCUAUCACCAGCCUGAUGAUGAUGUGACCCCACCAUGAACCCUUAUCUACCACCAGACUGACCUGAUCUGUACAUCUCUACCCACAUGUCUGUGAAGCUCCACUAAAACAAAACAGGAAGAGACCUCCCAGCCACCGCUGGUCCACUUUACUAGAGAUGUACAACCAUCAGAGGUUGACACCUCCUGACCUGGUGAAAGAGAAUCUUUGAAGGUGAUCAAGAGGCUGAACAAACAGUCCUAGGUGCAUUGAUAAAAGGCUGUAUAUGCAUCAGAGUGUGUGUGUGUGUGUGUGUGUGUGUGUGUGUGUGUGUGUGUGUGUGUGUGUGUGUGUGUGUGUGUGUGUGUGUGUGUGUGUGUGUGUGUGUGUGUGUGUGUGUGUGUGUGUGUGUGUGUGUGUAUUCUGUAAUACUUGUAUUUUUAU